AUUGAACGCUGGCGGUAUGCCUUACACAUGCAAGUCGAACGGCAGCACGGGGCAACCUGGUGGCGAGUGGCGAACGGGUGAGUAAUGUAUCGGAACGUACCAUUCAGUGGGGGAUAGCUAUCCGAAAGGAUAGCUAAUACCGCAUAUUCUGUGAGCAGGAAAGCAGGGGAUCGCAAGACCUUGCGCUGAUUGAGCGGCCGAUAUCAGAUUAGCUAGUUGGUGAGGUAACGGCUCACCAAGGCUACGAUCUUUAGCGGGUCUGAGAGGACGAUCCGCCACACUGGGACUGAGACACGGCCCAGACUCCUACGGGAGGCAGCAGUGGGGAAUUUUGGACAAUGGGCGAAAGCCUGAUCCAGCAAUGCCGCGUGAGUGAUGAAGGCCUUCGGGUUGUAAAGCUCUUUUGUUUGGGAAGAAAUCCUAACGGAUAAUACCUGUUGGGGAUGACGGUACCAAAAGAAUAAGCACCGGCUAACUACGUGCCAGCAGCCGCCGUAAGAC
rnacentral:rRNA from 1 species